CCCUUAGAUGUUCUGGGCCGCACGCGCGCUACACUGACGAAGUCAGCGAGCAUGUCCUACGCCGACAGGUGCGGGGAAUCUUGUCAAACUUCGUCGUGAUGGGGAUUGAUUAUUGAAAUUCUUGAUCAUCAACGAGGAAUUCCUAGUAAGCGCAAGUCAGCAGCUUGCGUUGAUUACGUCCCUGCCCUUUGUACACACCACCCGUCGCUACUACCGAUUGAAUGGUUUAGUGAGAUCUUCGGAUUGGCGCCACUGCGGCUCAGCAAUGGGCUCGGUGGAUGCCGAAAAGUUGAUCAAACUUGAUCAUUUAGAGGAAGUAAAAGUCGUAACA
rnacentral:rRNA from 1 species